CAGUUUCAAGGGCAACGGCAGCUUUGCUUCGAAAUCUUGAUCAUCGCAUCUCAAGCUAUUCAUCUGUGAUACAAAAGUCCGAGAUAGAGGAUGCAGAGGAAUGCUUGAAACUGUUUUCUAUGGACUAGGUGGCUAAAUUUAAUGAAAUGACCCUUGCCAAUGUAAACAGCUUCAAAAAGCGCUAAAAAAGCCAGUCACCUAAAGAAAUCCAAAAAGAAUAUAUAGCGGUGGAGAGAUUCCUCCUGAGAUCGGAAAGAUGGGCAGCUUGGAAGGUUAGUUCUACUUCUUU